UCAGACACCAUGGACUCUGAACCUCGCACUUCCGCAGCUGAGCAAACCGAGCCACCGUGACUGGCUCUGUGGUGGGUGGGGGAUGAGAGCCAAGCUUGGGGUCUUGACCUACUGUCGUCUUGAUGAGUGACGUUGGCCUGCAGUAGGCGACACCACAGGACUGCAGUCCAUGUCCACUUACUGGUCUACUUGGGGGUUCAAGGAUCUGACCUGCUUGCCUCAGCUGGGGAGAGAACCAAGGGAGACAUCUCCAGCGCCCGAGAUCUCUGCAGAUGGCUGAUGUGCACAUGUGAUCUUGUUCAGAGUUGUCGUCUCCCGUUGCCCAAUCCCACCUUCCUCCCCUUCCUCAAAGAUGUGUCUUCUGAGAACUCGCCCCGGGAACAUAAAAGAAAACCCAUCUUUUAUUCUCCUUCUGCCUUGGACCUGCUGAUGCUCCCAUUUUGAAGUGGAAUCCGCACCACGGGAACAUUCCCCGGGAGACUGGGGCCUCAGGGACGCUGAGGAGAUGGACACUCAUGGGGCCUUGCUUCUCAAGCUGGCGGGUGUUGGAGCCCAUUUCUGUUCCACCAAGGGGCGAUUUCACACCUUCUUUGUUCUCCCACAGCCUUCACCCCGUCCUUGCCCAUCUCUGCCCUCGGAGUCGAUGACCCCAGUUUCCCUGAGCAGGUGGAGGCUCAGGAGAAGACACCAUCUCCCCACUCAUGUCCUCCCACCUGUGCGCUGCCCACCCCCCUCCCCGCGGGCCCUCUGCAAGGCCACUGUCCUGGAGGGAGUGUGUCCUGGGCCGUCCUGGGUAUUUUCCUGCCAGCCCAUUAGGGCUUCCCCGACAAGGUCCAUUCUUCAGUUUCUGUUGGACUCUUUCCAUUAGCAUUUGGGCUCUACUGAAGGAAAAACACAAGCCGCCCCGUCCAGCCCUCUAGCUCCUUACAGGAACCCCGGUGACCGAAUCUCUAUUCUCCACCACCUCACCUCUCCUCCCCUGUUUAACCAGCUCCUGUCAAAGCCAGGGUGAAGGGACACCUGGGUGGCUCAGUUGGUUGGGCGGCUGCC